AAAGGAUCUCAUCAAACAUUUACAACGAAUACUUAUUUAACAUGGACCAAGACUUUCAAGUACCUUAUGAAUCCUCUUGUGAUAUACACAGACUGUGUGCAAUUUCGCGAUUUAAUAACCAAAGAGAGGUCCGAAGGAAAAUUGGAGUACCAGACUGAACUUGUUUUUAUAAAUAGGACAUCUCUCUGGCCAUUUUCAUUGUUGGAUAAAAUUAAACAAGUGUACAGCCAACCAGGGUACCCAGCGCACUACCCAAACACCGUAAAUCCUUCCUACUCUGCUGCGCAACAUGCAAAAUACGCAGUGGUUGCAGAUGCAGUGCGAAGGAAUUUAUACAACACUUCAUAUUUUGCUUGGCUUGAUAUAGGAUACUUUCGAGACUUGAUUGGAAGCAAUCAAUAUUUUGAAUUAAAAAUCCCACCAAACUUUGACUCAUCUCGUUUAGCAGUCAAUCUUAUAUCUCAUCUGGGAAUGAACACAAGACCCUACAGCAUAUUCCGUAGCAAUGUAGUAUGGGUCGGUGGAGGAUUAUUCAUUGGGACCAGAAAUGUUGUGAUAGAGUUUGAAAAACUUUACGAGAGAGCAGUAUUAUACUUUCUGGACCAGAAACUAAUGAAUUCCGACCAGCAGGUUCUUUACUCAUUAUAUAGUCAAGAAGGGAGAAAAGCUCUCAAGCCUAACAUUGAACUUCAGCUGUACACUCCAACAGGUGGAGUAAACCCUUGGUUCUAUCUUGGAUAUUUAUGCAGAAAAGUUGUUAAUCGAACUAAGGUUGAAGAAUUUAUAUAAUUAGUUUUAGAGUGAUGAGAAACACUACAACAUUUACGUAAGAUUGAAUGACAUUAAUCAGCAAUGGAAUGCGUUUACAAAAAAGAUUGUGUUCACCUUUUUUUUCUCUCUGUCCAACAAAACUACUUGUUUUUAUUUCAUUACGCAAUAUUGGUUUCAAAAACCACCUUUAUUUCUCUCUCUCAAAAAUAAUUACUUGGUUUUUUUUUUUAUUUCAUUACUAUAAUUUAUAAACGAUACUGUGAUAAAAAAUGAGAAACUUCUUCACCUUUGUCUUUUUUUUUAACAUUUGAUGUUGAAUAGCCUAUUGAAUAACAUGUUUUCCAAGACAUUCUGUGAUAAGACAUUGUUUACAAGCAAGCCCUGGUAAAAAGAACCUGUUUCUAAACCUUUUGUGCAUUAUGUAUACAUACAAUUAAAUAUGUUGCAUUCAUUUGCAACAUUAAGGAGUUAUUGAUAUGAGAUAGCUAGUUUCUAAAUAAAUGAACUGACCCCCUCACUCCCCCCCCCCCCCAAAUGCAAUACUCAGACCCAGACGAAACAAAACGUUUUGUGCUGUUUCUUUACGGACAAAAGCAUUAUAGACUAAACUAUUUUUGAGACAAACCAAUUAAAUCAUUUGAAGAAGCGUUUUUCUGUUCUUUUAUAGUAACUCUUAUUAAGCCAUUUCUGAUCAGAAAUGUAUACAUAUAUUGUGGGUGCACCAUAUAUCUACACAAAAUGGUAUGGCGUUAAUAAUAAAUGGAUUGCACUUACAAAAACAUUGAGUUCACCUUAGUCUGACUGGCUUAAUUUAUUUAAAGUUUGGAGUAAAUGACACAAGCAGGUUUUUUUUAAAGAUAUGAAACUGGCUGGUAAUUUGCAUCCGGUUUCAUAUACAUGUAAGUCAUGUGGGUGCAUACUGAUUUCCAGUAUAAGAUGGAAUGCAGACUGUUAUAUGAGACAUUGUCAUGAAAUAAUCUCGUACAAAUGCAAUAAAAUCAUUGAUAU
rnacentral:misc_RNA from 1 species